rnacentral:rRNA from 1 species
UACGGAGGGUGCAAGCGUUGUCCGGAUUUAUUGGGUUUAAAGGGUGCGUAGGCGGCUGAUUAAGUCUGGGGUGAAAGCCCGUUGCUCAACAACGGAACUGCCCUGGAAACUGGUCGGCUUGAGUACAGACGAGGGUGGCGGAAUGGAUGCUGUAGCGGUGAAAUGCAUAGAUAGCAUCCAGAACCCCGAUGCGAAGCAGCUGCCUAGACUGUAACUGACGCUGAGGCACGAAAGCGUGGGGAGCGAACAGG